GCGUGCGGUGCGACGAUCUCCCCCCCUCGCCUUCGCCCUCUCCCCGAUUCCGGCCAUUUUUUCCGGUGUUGUUACCUCCCUCGAUUCGCGGCGGAUUCGUCCAAGUUCGAAACGCACUGUUCGUCUCUGGGUUUCGCUUUGGCUGUUGGUUUGAUCCGUUGGCUCCAUCUCGAUCUCGUGCUGUGUUUUUCUUUUUCGUCGUCUAAAUCCGUAAUAAUAUUCCGUGGAUCUUCGUCUCCGCCCAACUGCCGUAACAGCAACAUCACGAACGGCUUGUAAGACUCUCUGUGGUUUUGAUGAUUCAAGCGGUUUGAUUUGACGGGACAAUCUUGGAAAAAACGAUGGAGCAGGAGUGUGGAUGUUGCAAACUAUGGUUAAAGGCCACGUAUUUUGGCUCUAUAUGUUGGUCUAGCUGGUACUAGGAACAAAAACUCUUGAAGGAUGAUAUAUGCAGGUCCUCAUCAGGCGGCUUGGAUGACGUGGGGGGUGAUGGGUAGUACUUGUCUAGUGUCCAGAAGCCCAGGCAAAGUGUUAUAAAUGAUAUCUGGAGCACGAUGGAAUAUGACAAAAUUCUUGGGAUGCUGAAUGUAUUGGAGUUUCUCCUAAAUUUUUAGGAGCUAACUGGCAGCAGUCAGCUAUUACUUCUGCCAUAAAAGCAGGUAAAUCAGCUUAGCUGAGGUAGUGAUAAGGUGAACCUUUGAUAGGUAUGGAGAAGGGGGAGGCUGAAUUUUUGCACCUUCCGUUAAUAAUAAUGAAUCAUGCUUUGGUUAAUUCAGCUAGAUGUUAGCUCACCUACAAAUAUGCUUGCUAGUUUACAGUCUACUAUUUUUUGUUAUUCAUAUCUGUCUUCAGAGUUCAGUUUGCACAUGUUCUUCAGAACACUAGGUUAAAUAAUGCUUGGAAUGUACUGCUGGACCUUAAGCAUGGGAUUACCUCAAUUUUAAAGAAAGUUUCUACGUGGUAAAAGCUCUUAGUGAUCAGGAUCUUUUCUCAUCCUAUUUGUGUCUGCUGACUCCAUAAAAAACAAAUCCCUCAAAGCAAAAUAGCAUUUACCCAGAAUGGUUCUAAAACUUCUCAUCCAGGAAGUAACAGAAUAUGACAAAUAUCAUCUUGUUGAUCCAGUGGUGCAUUGUUAAGCUCUUCCAUUGUAAACAGAACUUGUGAACUCAUGAGCAAUGGUACCAUUAAGGCCAGUGGCGGAGCCAGAAAUUAUAUAAGACUAGGGCUAAGGUAAGGCUUGACUAAUGGAGUAUUAGUUUUCUGAACAAUUUACUCAAUAAAAUUUAAGCAAGUUUUUGAAGGCAGGCCUAGGGCUCAAGCCCUAGCUGCCCUAGGCCUGCCUCCACCCCUGAUUAAGGCCCGGAUUAAGUUCAAAUGAAGAUAGAUAACUUGGAUGCACUAUUCGUUUGUCAGUCUAGCUAAAGUUGAAUACAAUUACCUUUUGGACUGCUCAUACACAUGGUGACAUGGAUGCGCCUUCUUGUAUUAGCAUCUACUCUCACUAAUGGUAUAACUGAAAUAUGUAUAUUCUAAGUGCUCUUAGGCUUGUUGGUUCUUUAAACAUUACCUGUAGUAAUAAGCAUUAUGUAACCAUGACAACUUUUUUUUUUGUUUUUAGCUAAAGUUGCAUGGACAGUGUAUUAACCAAUUGUUCUGAUGAGUGAUGACUUCAUGUACUAAUUCCAGCUAUCCAAAUGAACAAUAUGAAAAUAAGGCAGUUUACAGUUUGAUGGUCUUUGCUGCGGAUUUUACAGUCUGUAUCCAGGUAUAGAUGUAUAGGGAUGCCAGCAUGUAUAUUCUUUCCAUAGUGUAAUGCGAUAGGUUUUAUUCAUUAUUGAUGAUAGAACAGAUUUAGCCUGACAUUUCAAUUCUAUAGUGCUGAUUCUAUUCUUCACCACUCCUUAAUAUUACUGUGUGUCGUGGUGGCAUUUGUCUAAUCCAUCAUUCCAGCUUGGUGACACUAAACAUCUUGAGCAUAAUUUGGUGAGCUUGUAACGGAGGCUGCUAGACUAGGAAGCCCCACAACUAGAGCACUCAUUUUUUUCCCGAUAGAAGUAUAUAUACAUGAUUUGUUAGUCUUUUUCAGUGGAUACACCAAUAACAUUAAGAUUUUCUUGCGCAUACACUGAUACACAGCUUUAGCCUCAUUUCUCAAAGGUUGACCUUCAGCACUCCUCACAGCUUCAGAUUUUAUGGUUUUGCCUCUCUGCAAUCUUUCCUUGAGUACCCCUGCCCCCUGAGCAUUUGACUUAAUUUAAAGCUAGUAUCUUUUUUGGCAGGUUACAAGUUGGUUGAUGCAUCUACUAAUGCGUAUAACAAUAUUCCUUGUCGGUUUAACAGUUCUUUUUCUGCAAAUAGAGCAAGCAUUUGCCUUUCGUUCAUGCUUGACAAGCACAGAUAUCAACAUUGAAUUGACCAGCUUUGUUCUGGCAAGUUCAUCUAUUUAUCAUAAUGAAGUAACAAUUAAGAGAGCCGAGGAAAAAAAACAGAACUGUUACACAUUAAGUUUAAAGAAAAUGCAGAUUAUCAUAUCAAACAUGAUUAAAGGUGGCAUGGCAGAAUCAAUCUAUAUAUGAACUUGAACAACAAAUAAGCUUACAGAAAUUGCUUCUACUUGUAAGGUAAUGCAGAAAAUGAUCAUCAGCAUUCUGUUGGUAAUCUUAUCCUGUAAGUUAUGAACUAUUGCAAACUUGAGAACUUGUCUCAAUAUUUUGAAAAUGAAUUUAUCAUGUAAGUUACAUUGUCAUUCAUCGAUGGACACCUCAAUCACUUUGAUGCCCUUACUAUGCCCGAGAUGUAUUUUUCAACAGAGAACUUGGACGUGGAGUAACUUUUUACAUCUUUAUGGGUGCUUUCUUGUUGAAUAUUUUUUUAGAUGUAUUCAUUCAAUCCCAUUAGAUCAUGCUCCAUAUACUGAGAGAAAAUAACCAAACACUGAUAUCUCAGACUUGGAGGUAGAAGAGCAACCAAAGAAGGGCUCCUUCUGAUUGAAUUCUAGCUUGCCUCUGUUGCAAUCAUAGGCCAGAGACAAAAGACUCAUAUUUUCUGACUACCCUGUCAUUUGUCACUCUAGAAAUCAGUUGAUGCCAUGCUUCCAAUGGUAAAGAAAGAAGGGAAUAUGGUAGGCAAAGCAUGAGGGACGCAUGGAGGCGUACUUCCAAGUUCUCUAUAUCUCAGAGGGACUUUGCACGCAAACGGAAGUACUUGUGCAGGCCCAUGCCCCCAUAUGGUACUUUAGAGUACCGCACUGUAACUUGCUCCAUGAUCAAAGUGCCAAACCCCCACACUGUAGUAACUCACAGUAAAGACAGUAUUGCCUCUGCUUCCCUCUUGGCCACUUCACCAUUGUUCCUGCAAGAUGAUGACGAUGAUGAUGGAGAGAAUGUGAUAGGGGACUUGGUGUCGGCAGAAGAUGGUAGCUGCAGAUGCAAGGCACAUUCAGUUCAACCACUUCGGCAUUGUGUCCUCUAUAUAAAAUACUUAUGGUUUCCUGUGUCUUCUGCCUGUGGUGUUUCGAGAGAAGAUAAAUAUGCAGUGCAGUAAACAAUAGUUGAUGAUGGAUCUUGAUUCUUAAAUAUAGAUGAAGGCCGGAAGGUGCUGAGAUUCUGCUUCCUGGGGUCUUGAAUUCUUGACCAAAAGGUCAGUCUUUCAGGAUAUUUUGUCAGGGAGUUGCGACAAUAAACCCAGAACAAGUUUGUGAUCUUUGUCAGUUUCUGGUACCUCGACCGAACAAGUUUUGGUUUAUUAAGAAACGCACGGUGGUAAGCAAGCAACUACAGGUGUUGAUUUUAUUUGUCGCCUUGUAUGUUGUACUACCUCCGUUUAAUAGAUGACGCCGUUGACUUUUUCUCA